GACGAACGCUGGCGGCGUGCCUAAUACAUGCAAGUAGGACGCACAGUCUAUACCGUAGCUUGCUACACCAUAGACUGUGAGUUGCGAACGGGUGAGUAACGCGUAGGUAACCUGCCUAUUAGAGGGGGAUAACUAUUGGAAACGAUAGCUAAUACCGCAUAACAGUAUGUAACACAUGUUAGAUGCUUGAAAGAUGCAAUUGCAUCGCUAGUAGAUGGACCUGCGUUGUAUUAGCUAGUAGGUAGGGUAAUGGCCUACCUAGGCGACGAUACAUAGCCGACCUGAGAGGGUGAUCGGCCACACUGGGACUGAGACACGGCCCAGACUCCUACGGGAGGCAGCAGUAGGGAAUCUUCGGCAAUGGGGGGAACCCUGACCGAGCAACGCCGCGUGAGUGAAGAAGGUUUUCGGAUCGUAAAGCUCUGUUGUUAAGGAAGAACGAGUGUGAGAAUGGAAAGUUC
rnacentral:rRNA from 1 species